GUACUGAUGAAGAGUCCCACACUAGGACGAAACAACUGUCUAGUAC
rnacentral:hammerhead_ribozyme from 1 species